rnacentral:lncRNA from 1 species
CAACUGAGAAGCACAUAUGAGAUAUUUAAAGUCGUCUGAGGAAGAGGCGGGAUCUUCUGAGGAAUGCUUAGGAAAGGUGUGGACGGAGGCCUCGAAAAACCCACAUCUGGGUGUUGGCUCGAGACAGCACGGAAGAAACGGCAGAAGCAGCGGAGGAGGAGAUGAAGAAAGUGGAGCAGAAGAAACUGAAGUGGAAACUUCAGGAACGGGCGGUUGGCACUGCUUAAGGUUGUUGACUGCCCAAGGAUGGCUGAGAGGUUGUCUGCUAGCACUAGGGGUUCGCCAUUUUCUAAGGGGGAUCGCCGGACACAAAUCAAUGAAGAUGUGGGCUUACUGACGCACACGGCCUCGUGUCUGCACAGGCAGUUCUAUCUCCUGACCCCUCUCCAACCGGUAAGACCUGAAGUCCGGAUGCUAGCACUAUGCUUUUAGCAUCUCAUUGUAAGCGGAAAACGACCUCCUUCCCUGCUUUUCAUUUGCCCAUAUUUCUGGAAGCAGCCUCAUGGGACAGUUAAUCUCAGCUGGACUGUCAACUUGACAAGGUGUAAAGUGGCCCGGGGGACACAUAGCCGGGUGUUUCUACUGGGGGAUGAGCUUUCGGAGAGAAGGAGAGAUCCACCCCAGAUUUCCACCCCACCCUGUGGCUGGGAUCCUGAGCAGGAGAGAAGCUGAGUAACCAGCGUUUGCCUCUCUCUGCUUCCGGUCAUCUCACGCUCCUGCCACCAAGUCUUGCAUCACAACGGCUGCACCCUUUCUUAAACUGUGAGCCCAGACACAGCCUUACUUCCUUUAGUGGCCUUUGCCAAGAAUUCUGUCCUGGCGAUGAUAAGAGGAAGAGACCACUACACCCUCCUCCCAUGCUCCUCCUGGCCAUCCCAAACCAUUCAUCGACUCGUCACUUGGAAGAUUUGUUGAGCUACUGGUGUCCUAUCUGAGCCGCACCUAAGAGCCGGGCGCUUCUCGAAAACCACCUGCCCCUACGCCAAGCACCGCGAAUGCUUCUGCAGCC